rnacentral:rRNA from 1 species
ACCGGCGGCUCGAGUGGUGGCCACUAUUACUGGGCUUAAAGCGUUCGUAGCUGGCUUGUUAAGUCUCUGGGGGAAUCUUCCGGCUCAACCGGAAGGCGUCUCAGGGAUACUGGCAGGCUAGGGACCGGAAGAGGUGAGAGGAACUCCAGGGGUAGAGGUGAAAUGCGGAGAUACGCGGGGGAACAACGGUGGCGAGGGCGACUCACCGGGACAACUCCUACGGUGAGGAGCGAAAGCGUGGGGAGCAAACAG